rnacentral:lncRNA from 1 species
UUUGACCUCAAGAUGAACAAAAAGGGUUUAACUGUCAUAAUGGAUGUCCAUCAUAAAAAGGCCCCAUAGCGCCCCCUUCAAAAUUUCAAAACGUAAACCCGCUCCUGCGGUCCAGACAAGUGGAUUCAAUGACACUUAUCUUGAACCCCAAGAGGAAAAGAAAUGGUUGCCAAUGUAAAAAUUGGGGACCCAUCAAAAAAUUCCUUCAUUUCUCCCUCUACAAAAUUUCAAAAUGUAAGUUCAGCUCCUGUGUUUGACCUAAACCGAGGGAUUCAAUGACACCUACGUUGGACUCAAAGUUAAACAAAAAGUUUUCCACUGUCAAAAUGGAUUUCCAACAAAAAUGUGGUCAUAGCGCCCUCUACAAAAAUUUCAGGACUCAGUGCUGUAUUUGAAGUCUGGUGUAUACCCUGUCAAUAGGAAUGGAGCCAGGACCGUCCGUUGUGGAACCCCUGUACUUCUCAAUAAGGCCCAGAAACACAGUUCCCCAGCGUGAAGAACUGUGUGAUUCCUGUCAGGCAAUUUGUGAUCCAGGAAACACAGGUAGGAUCCACGCCCAUCUCUGUGGGCUUGUCUUUGAGUAUGAUCGGUUGGAUGGUGUUGAACGUUAUGGUGACCUGUUGUUAUGAUGACCUGUCAGUUCAUUGACCUAUUGUUAUAAGUGGUAUCAUAAAAAAAUAAGACCAUCUUAAGAAGAGAGACUGAUUUUUAUUAGAAAACAUAACCUGAAACUGGAUAUCUCUUGCAGGGUUUUAUAGUCUUGAAUAUGUAAAGGAUUCGUAAUAUCAUUGACUUUGAAACCAUUUAAGUUUUUUUUGUAGGAUCAGAUUAACAAAAAACAACUGGCACUCUCAUGAUCACUUCUAAUUGUACAGGAAAAAGUGAAAUAUUGCAAAAAGUAUAAAUGGUAGAAAGGUGAAAAGUUCACCCCACUAGAUGGUGCUGUCAUACCAUAAUCAAAAAUUACUAUGGUUACAUUCUGACUGUAAACUUCUUUUGAGUACUUCCACAUUCCACGGGGAGGUUGUAAUACAUACAUUUUUAGGCAUUUGUCUAUCCGAAGCACCUCGACUGAUCAUUUUUCCUUGUAAUGCACAUAAGACAUACAAUUUUAGCAAUUUUUUUUAUUUUUACCUUCAUCCAAGUAUUUUAGCUUCAGCUCUGUAAUAUUUUCUACAUUUUUAUGUGGGGAAGUCACUGAAGCACACCACUAGAUGGUGCUGUUUUUCCAUUAUUACAAAUGAGUCUCAUCACCCUGUGAUGAAGAAAAUGUCAAGAUGGAGAACCAACCAUCAAUGGUCACAUAUUGCCCCCUACCCAAUUGAAAAAUAAAAGCCCUUUUUCUGUGUACGAACCAAACUUUUGAAAUAAAGAACAAUUAUGACAAACCGAAAGUUGAACAUACAGGGCUCCAGCAUCAAAAUGGAGAAUCAACUUCAAAUAGCUCCAGAGUGCCAGCUUCAAAUUAAAAAAAAAAAAGUAAGCCCCACUCCUGUGUUUGACCAAAACCUUUGGAAUUGAUGUCACUUAUGUUUGACCUCAAGACAAAGAAAAAUGGGUUCAAUGUCAAAAUUGAGGUCCUUCAAGAAAUAACUACAUAGCACCCCCUUCAUAAUUUCAAAAUGAAACCCCUGCUUCUUUGAGUGACUCAGACCAAUGGACUAACAGACACUUAUCUUGGAUCCAACUGAAAAUGGCACGACUGCGUUCUCUACAACAUUUCUAAAUGAAAGCCCUGCUCUGGUGCGCGUCCAAAACCUGUGGAAUUAGUGACACUGAAGUUGAACCUUAACACGAACAAAAACAGUUUGAAUAUCAAAAUGGAGAUCCAUCAAAACAUGGCUCUAUGGCGCCACCUUCAAAUUUCUUCAGUGUGAACCACGCUCCUGUGUUUGACCGAAACCUAUGAAAUUGAUGACACUUAUGUUUGACCUCAAGAUGAACAAAAAGGGUUUAACUGUCAUAAUGGAUGUCCAUCAUAAAAAGGCCCCAUAGCGCCCCCUUCAAAAUUUCAAAACGUAAACCCGCUCCUGCGGUCCAGACAAGUGGAUUCAAUGACACUUAUCUUGAACCCCAAGAGGAAAAGAAAUGGGUGCCAAUGUAAAAAUUGGGGACCCAUCAAAAAAUUCCUUCAUUUCUCCCUCUACAAAAUUUCAAAAUGUAAGUUCAGCUCCUGUGUUUGACCUAAACCGAGGGAUUCAAUGACACCUACGUUGGACUCAAAGUUAAACAAAAAGUUUUCCACUGUCAAAAUGGAUUUCCAACAAAAAUGUGGUCAUAGCGCCCUCUACAAAAAUUUCAGGACUCAGUGCUGUAUUUGAAGUCUGGUGUAUACCCUGUCAAUAGGAAUGGAGCCAGGACCGUCCGUUGUGGAACCCCUGUACUUCUCAAUAAGGCCCAGAAACACAGUUCCCCAGCGUGAAGAACUGUGUGAUUCCUGUCAGGCAAUUUGUGAUCCAGGAAACACAGGUAGGAUCCACGCCCAUCUCUGUGGGCUUGUCUUUUAGUAUGAUCGGUUGGAUGGUGUUGAACGUUAUGGUGACCUGUUGUUAUGAUGACCUGUCAGUUCAUUGACCUAUUGUUAUAAGUGGUAUCAUAAAAAAAUAAGACCAUCUUAAGAAGAGAGACUGAUUUUUAUUAGAAAACAUAACCUGAAACUGGAUAUCUCUUGCAGGGUUUUAUAGUCUUGAAUAUGUAAAGGAUUCGUAAUAUCAUUGACUUUGAAACCAUUUAAGUUUUUUUUGUAGGAUCAGAUUAACAAAAAACAAUUGGCACUCUCAUGAUCACUUCUAAUUGUACAGGAAAAAGUGAAAUAUUGCAAAAAGUAUAAAUGGUAGAAAGGUGAAAAGUUCACCCCACUAGAUGGUGCUGUCAUACCAUAAUCAAAAAUUACUAUGGUUACAUUCUGACUGUAAACUUCUUUUGAGUACUUCCACAUUCCACGGGGAGGUUGUAAUACAUACAUUUUUAGGCAUUUGUCUAUCCGAAGCACCUCGACUGAUCAUUUUUCCUUGUAAUGCACAUAAGACAUACAAUUUUAGCAAUCUUUUUUUAUUUUUACCUUCAUCCAAGUAUUUUAGCUUCAGCUCUGUAAUAUUUUCUACAUUUUUAUGUGGGGAAGUCACUGAAGCACACCACUAGAUGGUGCUGUUUUUCCAUUAUUACAAAUGAGUCUCAUCACCCUGUGAUGAAGAAAAUGUCAAGAUGGAGAACCAACCAUCAAUGGUCACAUAUUGCCCCCUACCCAAUUGAAAAAUAAAAGCCCUUUUUCUGUGUACGAACCAAACUUUUGAAAUAAAGAACAAUUAUGACAAACCGAAAGUUGAACAUACAGGGCUCCAGCAUCAAAAUGGAGAAUCAACUUCAAAUAGCUCCAGAGUGCCACCUUCAAAUUUAAAAAAAAAAAAAUUAAGCCCAACUCCUGUGUUUGACCAAAACCUUUGGAAUUUAUGUCACUUAUGUUUGACCUCAAGACAAAGAAAAAUGGGUUCAAUGUCAAAAAUGUAGUCUCUUUAAGAAAUAGCUACAUAGCACCCCUUUCAUAAUUUCAAAAUGAAACCCCUGCUCCUUUGAGUGACUCAGACCAAUGGACUAACAGACACUUAUCUUGGAUCCAACUGAAAAUGGCACGACUGCGUUCUCUACAACAUUUCUAAAUGAAAGCCCUGCUCUGGUGCGCGUCCAAAACCUGUGGAAUUAGUGACACUGAAGUUGAACCUUUACACGAACAAAAACAGUUUAAAUAUCAAAAUGGAGAUCCAUCAAAACAUUGGCUCUAUGGCGCCACCUUCAAAUUUCUUCAAUGUGAACCACGCUCCUGUGUUUGACCUAAACCUAUGAAAUUGAUGACACUUAUGUUUGACCUUGAGACGAACAAAAAGGGUUUAACUGUCAUAAUGGAUAUCCAUCAUAAAAAGGCCCCAUAGCGCCCCCUUCAAAAUUUCAAAACUUAAACCCCGCUCCUGUGGUCCAGACAAGUGGAUUCAAUGACACUUGUCUUGAACGCCAAGAGGAAAAGAAAUGGGUGCCAAUGUAAAAAUUGGGGACCCAUCAAAAAAUUCCUUCAUUUCUCCCUCUACAAAAUUUCAAAAUGUAAGUUCAGCUCCUGUGUUUGACCUAAACCGAGGGAUUCAAUGACACCUAUGUUGGACUCAAAGUUAAACAAAAAGUUUUCCACUGUCAAAAUGGAUUUCCAUAAAAAUGUGGUCAUAGCGCCCUCUAAAAAAAUUUCAGGACACAGUGCUGUAUUUGAAGUCUGGUGUAUACCCUGUCAAUAGGAAUGGAGCCAGGACCGUCCGUUGUGGAACCCCUGUACUUCCCAAUAAGGCCCAGAAACACAGUUCCCCAGCAUGAAGAACUGUGUGAUUCCUGUCAGGCAAUUUGUGAUCCAGGAAACACAGGUAGGAUCCACGCCCAUCUCUGUGGGUUUGUCUUUGAGUAUGAUCGGUUGGAUGGUGUUGAAUGUUAUGGUGACCUGUUGUUAUGAUGACCUGUCAGUUCAUUGACCUAUUGUUAUAAGUGGUAUCAUGAAAAUAAGACCAUCUUAAGAAGAGAGACUGAUUUUUAUUCAAAAACAUAACCUGAAACUGGAUAUCUCUUGCAGGGUUUUAUAGUCUUGAAUUUGUAAAGGAUUAGUAAUAUCAUUGACUUUGAUGCCUUUGAAGUUUUUUUUGUAGGAUCAGAUUUCCAAAAAAUAUUCUUUGUUAACGCUCAGUUGCUAAAAAAAGCCACUGACAUCGACUGCUGUAAAAACAUAUUGGAUUCAUAUUUUUUCCAGAUUUUUUUUCACACAUCUCUCAAAUAACUUCUGCCCUGAUCAAAAAUAGUACAUUUUUUAUCCAAAAAACAAGUUUUAAGCCUUUGAGAGUCCAUUCAAAACAUAACGCCUAAUGCCUAAACAAAACUAUGGCCCCGCUCCAUGUGUGAAUACUGAAAAGAUGUUUGCAGUCAGCAGUAUGAAACCGUAGUGAUUUGUAAUAGUGGAAAAAGAGCACCAUCUAGUGGUGUGCUUCUGUCACUGCCCUACAUAAAAAAGAUGUUUGCAGUCGGCACAUCAUCAUAGAAAUAUUUGAUUAUGGUAUGACAGCCAAAUCUAGUGGUGAGCUUUAGUUGCUGCCCUACAUGUUAAUAUAAAGAGUGUUACAGAGCUGUAGCUAAAAAAGCUGUAUAAAUGCAAAAUUAUUAAAGUUGCUAAAUAGAUGGUAUUAAUCUCAAAAGUAUUAAGAGCAGAAGUUUAAAAACUUGUAUGAAUGUAAAAAAUGCUCACGUGAAGACAAAGUUGUAAGACUUGUCAAUAUUUGUCAAUAUAGAAAUUGUUACAGAGCUGUGGUAUAAAAAAGGCAUAUGAAUGUAAAAUUAUGAAAGUAUGAAGAAGUGGUAUUAAUCUUAAAAGUAUAGAGAGCAGAAUUUUAAAUACUUUUAUGAAUGUAAAAAAUGCUCAAGUGAAGAAAAAGUUGUAAGACUUUUGUGAAUAAAAAUAAAUAAAGCUCAGUCUAGGUGCUUUGGAACGACAAGUGCCUAGAGAUUUAUAUAUUACAAACUCCCCAUGAAAUGUUGAAAUAUUCAAAAGAGGUUUGCAGUCAGCAGCAUGUAACCAUAGUCACUGGUAGCGGCACAACACUACCCUAUAGUGUGCUUCAGUUACUAACUUACCAAGCUGAAGCGCACCGCAAGAUGGAGUAGUGCGUGUGGACAGGGUGUGAAGGAAAUCGACAAGCACACAACACAUGAGAAGUGCUCCACCAUGGGUGAAGUGGAUGCCGUCUGAACUUCUUUACCUGGCACAGUUUUUCUAAGUGGUAUCAUGAAAAUAAGACCAUCUUAAGAAUUCUGGCACUCUCAUGAUCAUUUCUAAAUGUACAGAAAAAGUGAAAUAUUGCAAAAAGUAUAAAUGGUAGAAAGGUGAAAAGUACACACCACUAGAUGGUGCUGUCAUACCAUAAUCAAAAAUUACUAUGGUUACUGUCAGAAUAAUGUGUAUAAAUAUAUAUAGAAGUUAUCAUCUUACUCAAAUUCUUAUGUAAGAGUUUGCUAUAAGUAUGAACUGUUUUAACCUCUUGUUACACAUCAUACACUGUGUGCAGAAUUAUUAGGCAAGUUGUAUUUUUGAGGAUAAACUUUAUUUUUCAACAACUGCAGUGCUCUUGGUCAAUCCAAAAUUUUAAUUAACCUCAAACC